rnacentral:lncRNA from 1 species
UGAAGCUUCAGGGUUCAGUACGGGCCGAGUCCUAGCCAUGCUGACCCCCGUGACUAUAAAAGGAAGCCUUUUCAAAAAUUUCCUAUCUUUCCCUCUCUAAGCUCCAAGGUGUUGUUUUCUUCCUUGUCUUUGAUUUUUCUUACUUGUCUCGGCAACUUCAAGUAAGUCUCUUCGCCUUUUACUUUUAUUUGAUUAAAUUUGAUUUUUC